UACGUAGGGGGCAAGCGGUUGUCCGGAAUCAUUGGGCUUAAAGCGUGUGUAGGCGGAUCGUUAAGUGCCUUGUGAAAUCCCACGGCUUAACCGGUGGAACUGCUUGGCAUACUGGCGGUCUUGAGCAACCUAGGGCGAGCGGAACAAAUGGGUGGAGCGGUGAAAUGACGUAGAGUAUACAUUUGGAACGCCAAUGGUGAAAACAGCUCGCUGGGGGUUUGCUGACGCUGAGACGACGAAAGCCAGGGGAGCAAAGCGGGG
rnacentral:rRNA from 1 species